rnacentral:lncRNA from 1 species
GUAUCCAUGCAUAGUAGUUGUGUUUCAAAGAUACAUCUAUAACUAUGUCUACAUCCUAUACUAGUGAAGUAUGCAAUGGUAGACUAGAAAGUAAACAUAAUUGUGUACGAAGAAAAUGUAUAUAUGUCUCAGGUAAAGAGUAAGUGUGCACCGAGUAUUGGACUUAGUGUAACUAAAAUAUAAGCAUGCAUCCUCACCCAAAAACCCUACCUCAA